UAGCGUGUCUGGCAGCGACAUCUCUGUUAGCGAGUCCGCGGUGACAUAUUUGUCUAGUUAGGCUAGCGAGACCAGCGGCGACAUCUUCCUCUAUUGAGUCCGCAGCGACAUUUUCCUCCAGCAAGGCUAGCGUGUCCCGCAGCGACAUCUUCCACUAACGAGUCCGGUGGCGACAUUUUCUGCUAGCGAGUCCGGCAGCGACAUAUUCCUCCAGUGAGGCUAGCGUGUCCCACGGCGACAUCUUCCGCUAGCGAAUCUGCGGCGACAUUUUCCUCCAGCUAGGCUAGUGUGUCCCACAAAGAUAUCUUCCACUAGCGAGUCCGCGGUGACAUAUUACGCUAGGCAACAUUUUCCUCCAGCGAGGCUAGCGUGUCCGGCGGCGACAUCUUCUGCUAGGCGACAUAUUCCUCCAGCGAGGCUACCGUGUCCCACGACGACAUCUUUCGCCUGCGAGUAUGGGCGACGACAUCUUCUGUUAGCGAGUCUGCGGCGACAUUUUCCUCCAGGUAGGCUAGCGUGUCCCAGGACGACAUCUUCCACUAGCGAGUCCGCGGCAACAUAUUCCGCUAGGCGACAUUUUCCUCCAGCGAGGCUAGAGUGUCAGGCGGCGACAUCUUCCGCUAGGCGACAUAUUCCUCCAGCGAGGCUACCGUGUCCUGCGGCGACAUCUUUCGCCUGCGAGUAUGGGCGGCGAUAUCUUCCUCUAGCUAGUUCGCGGCGACAUUUUCGUCCAGCAAGGCUAGCGUGUCCCGCGGCGACAUCUUCCACUAGCUAGUCAGCGGCGACAUAUUCCUCCAAAGAGGCUACCGUGUAGCGGCGACAUCUUCCGCUAGCUUGUCCAGCGGCGAUAUAUUCCUCCAGCGAGGCUACUGUAUCCCACGGCGACAUCUUCAUCUAGCGAGUUCGAUGGCG
rnacentral:lncRNA from 1 species